rnacentral:rRNA from 1 species
ACCGAGUGCCAGCAUCAUAUGCUGGCUGUCCAGGUGUGUAAAAUACACCUGUCAGCAGGGCCGGGCAAGACCGGUGCCAGCCGCCGCGGUAACACCGGCGGCCCGAGUGGUGAUCGUGAUUAUUGGGUCUAAAGGGUCCGUAGCCGGUUUGGUCAGUCCUCCGGGAAAUCUGACGGCUCAACCGUUAGGCUUUCGGGGGAUACUGCCAGGCUUGGAACCGGGAGAGGUAAGAGGUACUACAGGGGUAGGAGUGAAAUCUUGUAAUCCCUGUGAGACCACCUGUGGCGAAGGCGUCUUACCAGAACGGGUUCGACGGUGAGGGACGAAAGCUGGGGGCACGAACCGGAUUAGAUACCCGGGUAGUCCCAGCCGUAAACGAUGCUCGCUAGGUGUCAGGCAUGGCGCGACCGUGUCUGGUGCCGCAGGGAAGCCGUGAAGCGAGCCACCUGGGAAGUACGGCCGCAAGGCUGAAACUUAA